GACAGAGGGUGCAAACGUUGCUCGGAAUCACUGGGCGUAAAGCGCAUGUAGGCGGCCUAGCAAGUCGGAUGUGAAAGCCCCGGGCUUAACCCGGGAAGUGCACUCGAUACUGCUGGGCUUGAAUAUGGGAGAGGAUAGUGGAAUUCCUGGUGUAGCGGUGAAAUGCGCAGAUAUCAGGAGGAACACCGGUGGCGAAGGCGGGUCUCUGGGCCGUAACUGACGCUGAGGAGCGAAAGCGUGGGGAGCGAACAGG
rnacentral:rRNA from 1 species